rnacentral:rRNA from 1 species
CUGCUAAGACUGGAUAGGAAACAAAAAGGCAUCUUUUUGUUUUUAAAAGACCUUCUUACGAAGGUAUGCUUAAAGAGGGGCUUGCGCCACAUUAGUUAGUUGGUAGAGUAAAAGCCUACCAAGACGAUGAUGUGUAGCUGGACUGAGAGGUUGAACAGCCACAUUGGGACUGAGACACGGCCCAAACUCCUACGGGAGGCAGCAGUAGGGAAUUUUCGGCAAUGGAGGAAACUCUGACCGAGCAACGCCGCGUGAACGAUGAAGUAUUUCGGUAUGUAAAGUUCUUUUAUUGAAGAAGAAAAAGUAGUGGAAAAACUAUAUUGACGUUAUUCAAUGAAUAAGCCCCGGCUAACUAUGUGCCAGCAGCCGCGGUAAGACAUAGGGGGCGAGCGUUAUCCGGAAUUAUUGGGCGUAAAGGGUGCGUAGGCUGUUAGAUAAGUCUAUAAUUUAAUUUCAGUGCUUAACGCUGUCUUGUUAUAGAAACUGUCUUGACUAGAGUGAGAUAGAGGCAAGCGGAAUUCCAUGUGUAGCGGUAAAAUGUGUAAAUAUAUGGAGGAACACCAGAAGCGUAGGCGGCUUGCUGGGUCUUUACUGACGCUGAGGCACGAAAGCGUGGGUAGCAAACAGGAUUAGAUACCCUGGUAGUCCACGCCGUAAACGAUGAGUACUAAGUGUCGGGGUAAAACUCGGUACUGAAGUUAACACAUUAAGUACUCCGCCUGAGUAGUACGUACGCAAGUAUGAAACUUAAAGGAAUUGACGGGACUCCGCACAAGCGGUGGAUCAUGUUGUUUAAUUCGAAGAUACACGAAAAAUCUUACCAGGUCUUGACAUACUCUGCAAAGCUAUAGAAAUAUAGUGGAGGUUAUCAGGGAUACAGGUGGUGCAUGGUUGUCGUCAGUUCGUGUCGUGAGAUGUUAGGUUAAGUCCUAAAACGAGCGCAACCCUUGUCGUUAAUUGCCAGCACGUAAUGGUGGGGACUUUAGCGAGACUGCCAAUUAAACAUUGGAGGAAGGUGAGGAUUACGUCAAAUCAUCAUGCCCCUUAUGAUCUGGGCUACAAACGUGAUACAAUGGCUGUGACAAAGAGUAGCUGAAACGCGAGUUUUUAGCCAAUCUCAAAAAAGCAGUCUCAGUUCGGAUUGAAGUCUGUAACUCGACUUCAUGAAGUUGGAAUCGCUAGUAAUCGCGAAUCAGCAUGUCGCGGUGAAUACGUUCACGGGGUUUGUACACACCGCCCGUCAAAUC